rnacentral:rRNA from 1 species
CUUGACACUGAACACUGGUCCUUGAUGUGUAGGAUAGGUGGGAGGCUUUGAAGCGUGGACGCCAGUCUGCGUGGAGCCAACCUUGAAAUACCACCCUUUAAUGGCUGGUGUUCUAACGUAGACCCGUUAUCCGGGUUGCGGACAGUGUCUGGUGGGUAGUUUGACUGGGGCGGUCUCCUCCCAAAGAGUAACGGAGGAGCACGAAGGUUGGCUAAUCCUGGUCGGACAUCAGGAGGUUAGUGCAAUGGCAUAAGCCA